rnacentral:rRNA from 1 species
GACGAACGCUGGCGGCGUGCUUAACACAUGCAAGUCGAGCGGAAAGGCCCUUCGGGGUACUCGAGCGGCGAACGGGUGAGUAACACGUGAGUAACCUGCCCCAGACUUUGGGAUAACCCUCGGAAACGGGGGCUAAACCGGAUACGACACAGCUUCGCAUGGGGUCUGUGUGGAAAGUUUUUCGGUUUGGGAUGGGCUCGCGGCCUAUCAGCUUGUUGGUGGGGUGAUGGCCUACCAAGGCGACGACGGGUAGCCGGCCUGAGAGGGCGACCGGCCACACUGGGACUGAGACACGGCCCAGACUCCUACGGGAGGCAGCAGUGGGGAAUAUUGCACAAUGGGCGGAAGCCUGAUGCAGCGACGCCGCGUGAGGGAUGACGGCCUUCGGGUUGUAAACCUCUUUCAGCAGGGACGAAGCGUAAGUGACGGUACCUGCAGAAGAAGCGCCGGCCAACUACGUG